rfam:Oryza glumipatula chromosome 8, whole genome shotgun sequence.
UCUCCGUUCUAUUUUUCGCGCUCAACUUUAGUCGUCCGUUUUAUUUGAAAUUUUUUUAAUUAGUAUUUUUAUUUUUAUAAAAUAAUAAAACAUAAAUAAUACUUUAUACGUGACUUAUGUUUUUAAUUUUUUUAAAAAAAAUUAAAAAUAAAGACGGAUGAUUAAAGUUGGAUAUGAAAACUGAUAGCUGCAGUUAAA